CCUACGGGAGGCAGCAGUGGGGGAUAUUGCACAAUGGGGGGAACCCUGAUGCAGCGACGCCGCGUGGGUGAAGGAGCGUUUCGGCGCGGAAAGCCCUAUCGGCAGGGAAGAAGAUGACGGUACCUGACCAAGAAGCCCCGGCGAAAUACGUGACAGCAGCGGUGGGAAUACGGAGGCGGCAAGCGUUAUCCGGAUUUACUGGGUGUAAGGGGGGCGCAGACGGGAAUGCAAGCCAGGAGUGAAAGCCCGGGGCCCAACCCCGGGACUGCCCUUGGAACUGGAUGGCUGGAGUACAGGAGGGGCAGGCGGAAGUCCUGGUGUAGCGGUGAAAUGCGUAGAUAUCAGGAAGAACACCGAUGGCGAAGGCGGCCUGCUGGACUGUGACUGACGUUGAGGCCCGAAGGCGUGGGGAGCAAACAGGAUUAGAUACCCCAGUAGUC
rnacentral:rRNA from 1 species